rnacentral:rRNA from 1 species
GUGAGUAGUUCAGAGUUUGAUCCUGGCUCAGGACGAACGCUGGCGGCGUGCUUAACACAUGCAAGUCGAACGGACCGAGUUGAUAGCUUGCUAUUGAUGAGGUUAGUGGCAAACGGGUGAGUAACGCGUGAGGAACCUGCCUUUCAGUGGGGGACAACAGUUGGAAACGACUGCUAAUACCGCAUAACAUGUACGGAUCGCAUGGUCUGUACAUCAAAGCUUUAUGUGCUGAAAGAUGGCCUCGCGUCUGAUUAGAUAGUUGGUGAGGUAACGGCUCACCAAGUCGACGAUCAGUAGCCGGUCUGAGAGGAUGAACGGCCACAUUGGGACUGAGAUACGGCCCAG